GUCGACGCUGGUGGACGGCGGGGUUGGGUGCAGCAUCUGGAGUCGGGAGUAAUUAUCUGCACUAUUUUGAUAUCCAGAUUGUCUUAAAAUAAUUAACUAAGUGCCUGUGGGUGCCGCCGCCGCCGGUGACUCACGCCAUGUGAGGCGUGCGCGUCGGAGCGGGACGCCACCGACUGUAC